GGGCGCACGGUGGAUGCCUUGACACUAGGAGUCGAUGAAGGACGGGACUAACGCCGAUAUGCUUCGGGGAGCUGUAAGUAAGCUUUGAUCCGAAGAUUUCCGAAUGGGGAAACCCACCAUACGUAAUGGUAUGGUAUCCUUAUCUGAAUACAUAGGGUAAGGAAGACAGACCCAGGGAACUGAAACAUCUAAGUACCUGGAGGAAGAGAAAGCAAAUGCGAUUUCCUGAGUAGCGGCGAGCGAAACGGAACAUAGCCCAAACCAAGAGGCUUGCCUCUUGGGGUUGUAGGACAUUCUAUACGGAGUUACAAAGGAACGAGGUAGACGAAGCGACCUGGAAAGGUCCGUCGUAGAGGGUAACAACCCCGUAGUCGAAACUUCGUUCUCUCUUGAAUGUAUCCUGAGUACGGCGGAACACGUGAAAUUCCGUCGGAAUCUGGGAGGACCAUCUCCCAAGGCUAAAUACUCCCUAGUGAUCGAUAGUGAACCAGUACCGUGAGGGAAAGGUGAAAAGCACCCCGGAAGGGGAGUGAAAGAGAUCCUGAAACCGUGUGCCUACAAAUAGUCAGAGCCCGUUAACGGGUGAUGGCGUGCCUUUUGUAGAAUGAACCGGCGAGUUACGAUCCCGUGCGAGGUUAAGCUGAAGAGGCGGAGCCGCAGCGAAAGCGAGUCUGAAUAGGGCGUUUAGUACGUGGUCGUAGACCCGAAACCAGGUGAUCUACCCAUGUCCAGGGUGAAGUUCAGGUAACACUGAAUGGAGGCCCGAACCCACGCACGUUGAAAAGUGCGGGGAUGAGGUGUGGGUAGCGGAGAAAUUCCAAUCGAACCUGGAGAUAGCUGGUUCUCCCCGAAAUAGCUUUAGGGCUAGCCUUAAGUGUAAGAGUCUUGGAGGUAGAGCACUGAUUGGACUAGGGGUCCUCAUCGGAUUACCGAAUUCAGUCAAACUCCGAAUGCCAAUGACUUAUCCUUAGGAGUCAGACUGUGAGUGAUAAGAUCCGUAGUCAAAAGGGAAACAGCCCAGACCGCCAGCUAAGGUCCCAAAGUGUGUAUUAAGUGGAAAAGGAUGUGGAGUUGCUUAGACAACUAGGAUGUUGGCUUAGAAGCAGCCACCAUUUAAAGAGUGCGUAAUAGCUCACUAGUCGAGUGACUCUGCGCCGAAAAUGUACCGGGGCUAAAUACACCACCGAAGCUGCGGAUUGAUACCGAAUGGUAUCAGUGGUAGGGGAGCGUUCUAAGGACAGUGAAGUCAGACCGGAAGGACUGGUGGAGUGCUUAGAAGUGAGAAUGCCGGUAUGAGUAGCGAAAGACGGGUGAGAAUCCCGUCCACCGAAUGCCUAAGGUUUCCUGAGGAAGGCUCGUCCGCUCAGGGUUAGUCAGGACCUAAGCCGAGGCCGACAGGCGUAGGCGAUGGACAACAGGUUGAUAUUCCUGUACCACCUCUUUAUCGUUUGAGCAAUGGAGGGACGCAGAAGGAUAGAAGAAGCGUGCGAUUGGUUGUGCACGUCCAAGCAGUUAGGCUGAUAAGUAGGCAAAUCCGCUUAUCGUAAAGGCUGAGCUGUGAUGGGGAAGCUCCUUAUGGAGCGAAGUCUUUGAUUCCCCGCUGCCAAGAAAAGCUUCUAGCGAGAUAAAAGGUGCCUGUACCGCAAACCGACACAGGUAGGCGAGGAGAGAAUCCUAAGGUGUGCGAGAGAACUCUGGUUAAGGAACUCGGCAAAAUGACCCCGUAACUUCGGGAGAAGGGGUGCUUUCUUAACGGAAAGCCGCAGUGAAUAGGCCCAAGCGACUGUUUAGCAAAAACACAGCUCUCUGCGAAGCCGUAAGGCGAAGUAUAGGGGGUGACACCUGCCCGGUGCUGGAAGGUUAAGGAGAGGGGUUAGCGUAAGCGAAGCUCUGAACUGAAGCCCCAGUAAACGGCGGCCGUAACUAUAACGGUCCUAAGGUAGCGAAAUUCCUUGUCGGGUAAGUUCCGACCCGCACGAAAGGUGUAACGAUUUGGGCACUGUCUCAACCAGAGACUCGGUGAAAUUAUAGUACCUGUGAAGAUGCAGGUUACCCGCGACAGGACGGAAAGACCCCGUGGAGCUUUACUGUAGCCUGAUAUUGAAUUUUGGUACAGUUUGUACAGGAUAGGCGGGAGCCUUUGAAACCGGAGCGCUAGCUUCGGUGGAGGCGCUGGUGGGAUACCGCCCUGACUGUAUUGAAAUUCUAACCUACGGGUCUUAUCGACCCGGGAGACAGUGUCAGGUGGGCAGUUUGACUGGGGCGGUCGCCUCCUAAAGUGUAACGGAGGCGCCCAAAGGUUCCCUCAGAAUGGUUGGAAAUCAUUCGUAGAGUGCAAAGGCAUAAGGGAGCUUGACUGCGAGACCUACAAGUCGAGCAGGGACGAAAGUCGGGCUUAGUGAUCCGGUGGUUCCGCAUGGAAGGGCCAUCGCUCAACGGAUAAAAGCUACCCCGGGGAUAACAGGCUUAUCUCCCCCAAGAGUCCACAUCGACGGGGAGGUUUGGCACCUCGAUGUCGGCUCAUCGCAUCCUGGGGCUGUAGUCGGUCCCAAGGGUUGGGCUGUUCGCCCAUUAAAGCGGUACGCGAGCUGGGUUCAGAACGUCGUGAGACAGUUCGGUCCCUAUCCGUCGUGGGCGUAGGAAAUUUGAGAGGAGCUGUCCUUAGUACGAGAGGACCGGGAUGGACGCACCGCUGGUGUACCAGUUGUUCUGCCAAGGGCAUAGCUGGGUAGCUAUGUGCGGAAGGGAUAAGUGCUGAAAGCAUCUAAGCAUGAAGCCCCCCUCAAGAUGAGAUUUCCCAUAGCGUAAGCUAGUAAGAUCCCUGAAAGAUGAUCAGGUUGAUAGGUUCGAGGUGGAAGCAUGGUGACAUGUGGAGCUGACGAAUACUAAUAGAUCGAGGACUUAACCAU
rnacentral:rRNA from 1 species